rnacentral:rRNA from 1 species
AGUUUGCUAUUGCACCACAUGUGUUUUUCUUUGAAACAAACUUGCUUUGGCGGUGGGCCCAGCCUGCCGCCAGAGGUCUAAACUUACAACCAAUUUUUUAUCAACUUGUCACACCAGAUUAUUACUUAAUAGUCAAAACUUUCAACAACGGAUCUCUUGGUUCUCGCAUCGAUGAAGAACGCAGCGAAAUGCGAUACGUAAUAUGAAUUGCAGAUAUUCGUGAAUCAUCGAAUCUUUGAACGCACAUUGCGCCCUCUGGUAUUCCGGAGGGCAUGCCUGUUUGAGCGUCGUUUCUCCCUCAAACCGCUGGGUUUGGUGUUGAGCAAUACGACUUGGGUUUGCUUGAAAGACGGUAGUGGUAAGGCGGGAUCGCUUUGACAAUGGCUUAGGUCUAACCAAAAACAUUGCUUGCGGCGGUAACGUCUACCACGUAUAUCUUCAAACUUUGACCUCAAAUCAGGUAGGACUACCCGCUGAACUUAAGCAUAUCAAUAAGCGGAGGAAU